rnacentral:rRNA from 1 species
UACGUAGGGGGCGAGCGUUGUCCGGAGUUACUGGGCGUAAAGCGCACGCAGGCGGUCUGCUAAGUUUGGAGUGACAGUUGGUGGCUUAACUGCCAAAGUGCUUCGAAAACUGACAGACUUGAGGGCUUCAGAGGGACACGGAAUUCCGGGUGGAGUGGUGAAAUGCGUAGAGAUCCGGAGGAACUCCAAAGGCGAAGGCAGUGUCCGGGGGAGUACCUGACGCUCAGGUGCGAAAGCCAGGGGAGCGAACGGG